GGAGAGAUGGCUUAUUAGUUAAGAGCACUGGCUGCUCUUCCGGAGGACCUGGGUUCAAUUCCCAGCACUCACCU
rfam:Cricetulus griseus cell line CHO-K1, whole genome shotgun sequence.